rnacentral:rRNA from 1 species
GUGGGGAAUCUUCCGCAAUGGACGAAAGUCUGACGGAGCAACGCCGCGUGAGUGAAGAAGGUUUUCGGAUCGUAAAGCUCUUUCGUUAGGGACGAACGUGCUCUUUGUGAAUAAUGAGGAGUAAUGACGGUACCUAAAUAAGAAGCCACGGCUAACUACGUGCCAGCAGCCGCGGUAAUACGUAGGUGGCAAGCGUUGUCCGGAAUUAUUGGGCGUAAAGCGCGCGCCGGCGGGAUAUCAAGUCUGUCUUAAAAGUGCGAGGCUCAACCUCGUGAGGGGACAGAAACUGGUAUUCUUGAGUGUCGGAGAGGAAAGUGGAAUUCCAAGUGUAGCGGUGAAAUGCGUAGAGAUUUGGAAGAACACCAGUGGCGAAGGCGACUUUCUGGACGAUGUCUGACGCUGAGGCGCGAAAGCUAGGGGAGCGAACGGGAUUAGAUACCCUGGUAGUCC